UACGUAGGGUGCGAGCGUUGUCCGGAUUUAUUGGGCGUAAAGAGCUCGUAGGCGGUUUGUCGCGUCUGCCGUGAAAGUCCGGGGCUCAACUCCGGAUCUGCGGUGGGUACGGGCAGACUAGAGUGAUGUAGGGGAGACUGGAAUUCCUGGUGUAGCGGUGAAAUGCGCAGAUAUCAGGAGGAACACCAAUGGCGAAGGCAGCACUCUGGGACGUGACUGACGCUGAGACGCGAAAGCGUGGGGAGCAAACAGG
rnacentral:rRNA from 1 species